UAACCUGCGGGAGGGCGCUUACCACUUUGUGAUUCAUGACUGGGGUGAAGUCGUAACAAGGUAACCGUAGGGGAACCUGCGGUUGGAUCACCUCCUUACCU
rnacentral:rRNA from 1 species